UAUACAGCUCAGCACGAACUGGGUGAUAUGGAGUCAGUAUCCAUGCUGGGAAUUUCCAUUGGCAGAGUCACCGAGGUCCUGUUGCUUGAAGGGUGACAUGACAGGGGCCUCUCUGCCUGCCUGCCUUCCUGAGCUGCCCUAAUGCAGUGGGCAGGAGAGCACGAAUCUCACGUGGGCAAGGGGAAGGAAGGCAGAGCUACAAGAGCACUGGAUCUGGAGAGUCACUGCCUGAUCCUGGACAAGUCUCUUGGACAUCUGAGUUUCUGUUCCCUAUGAGUUAAUGGGUCAACAGGACUGCCCUGCCCCACAGGAGUGUUUUCAGGAUAAAUAUAGCAGAGAUGUGUGGGUGGCACAGCAUAUUUAUACUGACAACGUCAUUAGAAAGGCCUAAAAUCCACACAAACCCCGAGUGCAGAGUUUACCAGCUGUCUUGAAUGAAUUCCAAAUGACCUGCCAGACAUCACCUACUUGAACCCCUUCAACAAAACAGCUGGACUGUAACAGCAGGCCUAGAGCUGACAGGAGAUGCAAGAGCUUUUCAGUUUUGAAGAAUAAUUCCCCCCUUGAAUGGUAAUGCCAGGAAAUCUAACCUAUGUGAAAGUGCUGAAGUGGGGAAAACAAGUGGGGAAAGCCUGUGAACUUGGUCCAACACCCUUAACCCCUGGCAAAACCUCCAUUUUGUAAUGUGACUUGGAAGAUAAAUUACUCUAACAGGAGGUAUGAAGGUAAAUUA